rnacentral:piRNA from 1 species
UCUCUAAGUGUGGCUGUACCUCGUGGGU